UGGGGAAUAUUGCACAAUGGGGGAAACCCUGAUGCAGCAACGCCGCGUGAGCGAUGAAGGCCUUCGGGUCGUAAAGCUCUUUUCUAAGGGAAGAAUUCUUGACGGUACCUUAGGAAUAAGCCCCGGCUAACUACGUGCCAGCAGCCGCGGUAAUACGUAGGGGGCAAGCGUUAUCCGGAAUCACUGGGCGUAAAGGGUGCGUAGGUGGUUUUGUAAGUCUGAGGUAAAAGGUCACGGCUCAACCGUGGUAAGCCUUGGAAACUGCAAAACUUGAAUGCAGGAGAGGAAAGUGGAAUUCCUAGUGUAGCGGUGAAAUGCGUAGAUAUUAGGAGGAACAUCCAUGGCGAAGGCAGCUUUCUGGACUGUUAUUGACACUGAGGCACGAAAGCGUGGGGAGCAA
rnacentral:rRNA from 1 species